rnacentral:lncRNA from 1 species
CUUGAUGUAGAAGAUAAUGUUAAUAUAAAUGUAGUAAUGCAUGAAGUUAAACAAAAUAUUAUGCAAUUAUAUAAUGAAUUUGUUCAAGUUUCUAGUUCAUCUACUUCUACUUCUACUUCUUCUCAAUCUAAUAUUCCACAAUUUUCAACACAAAGGGUAAGUGGUGUUGGUGUUGCUCAACAAGUUUUAUUACAAAGACAAAAAAGAACAAGGGA